CGGGACUCGGGAAUCGGGCGGGCUGGCUGCAGGCUGCGGCGCUCGGACCCCGCCUCGGCCUGGGCCUCCCCGCGGGGAGGAUGAGCUGCGGACGGGAGGAGGGGCAGGGCUCCAGAAAGCGGGGACUGAGCUGGGGAGGGGAGGGCCGGCCCGCGCAGACCAGGGGCCCACCGGGGUGCGGGGAGUGGGGGGUGGUGCCCCUGAACUUGGCCGCCCCGGAGGCUUGUGGUCUUUCCACCGCAGGCUGGUCCGGGGAGGCGCGGGGCGGGCGGCUGUUUCUCCUGGAAGGGCCAGCAGCCCGGUCGCCCGCCGGGGCCCUCGCCGGCCCCUCCCCGAGACCUCGAACGUUCCAGAGCCCGGGGAACCCUCACAUCAGCUAGAUUGCCUCACAGUCUCUCAGAUGAACCGGAGGACCAUAUCUUUGCAGUAUCUCCUCCAGUGAGUAGAUUCUAUUCAGCAGUGUCCUCGGCUUGUUCUCCUAUUCUGUGAAACCUUCCCUGACAACCAAACAUCCAACCAACCCCAUCCGUCUCAUCAGCAUUUCUGGAAGCCAGGCACUAGGUUAGAUAAGUAUGACUAAACCACCAUCAUUUCUCCCUUCCCUGGAUUUCUAUGGCCGUGCUUGAAUCAAUGUCUUAUACAGCAUCUUGCACAUGGUAGGCAGUCAAUAAAUAAUUAUCAGCUGAUAAA